CUGUUUUGCAGCAUUGGUACUGCCUAGAGUCAUUCCUAAGAAAUCUUAGCUGGCUCCCUUCUGCUGAUUUACUAGAGUAUGACUGUAUACCUAUGCACAGAGAGGAAGUCUGCAGCAUUCUACGUAUCAGCCAAGUGAUGGAGAAAUUGCCCAGGCUUCCAGCAAAAGUAUUGGAGGAAAGUAAAAUUGACACUCUCCUUCAGAGAUGGCCUCACCUGGUGCGUGAAAUGAUCUUAGAUGCUUUCUGCAUCUUAAAAUGUGUAAGCACUCUUGAAUUCUUCAGGAAGAAAGACCUUCUCCAAAGGCAAGACACAAAGAGCAAACAGACACUUUCUAUGCGAAUUAGGUUUCUUUGAUUAAGAGAAAAACAAACCAAACAAAAAAGUCCCCUUGAAAGAAUGCCCUGGUGGGGUUUUCUUCUGACAGUCUGCACUGCAGUUUGCUCCGCUCCACAAAUAAAGGUCAUCUAGAAACGGAAAGAAGUGCACAAGAAAAUGAUUUUCCUUCUUCGUUUCUGCCUGUCAUUGUGCCCUGAAGAACAACAGGCAAAAUGCAGAGUGGGUGAGCAUCGGUGGUUGUUUUUCCCACUAGUUCAGAGGAUUAAGCCCAGGAUAUGCUGCCUGCAGUCUGUUUGCCUUGAGGGAAUUCUUAAAGGACAGCCCUGAGAAUGGAUUGGCAGGCAGGGAGAGCCACAGAGGGUGCCAUGCAGUGACUUUGGGGCGGUGAGGUGGCCGAUUGGAAGGACUUGUAAAAGCAGUGGUGCUUGGGGAGGAUGGCUCCAAGAGGGACAGGGGCUCACCUGGCAGCAGUCAGAGGUGCCAGGCAAAGAGGUGCCUCUCCCAAAGGCAACUGCAUCUUACCUGGGAAAAAAUAAAGUGAGUUUUAUAGCACG